GUUCGUAUGACGCAGCGGUAGCGUGUAGGAUUGCAAUUCUGUAAAAUAGAACCUUAAAUCCUGAAGUCCUGAGUUCGAACCUCAGUGCGAACU